UUGAUUAUGCCCCUUCAUGCCUUUUUUUUUUUUUUUUUAACAGACCAUUUUGGAAAUAUUUAUGCUCCUUCUACCCUGUUUGUUUUUUAAAUGUUUGUCUUGGGGAUGUGUUAUUAGAACUCAGUAACGUAAUUAUACCCACUGCAAAUAUCCAAUCUUGGAUCCUAAGAGUAUACAGGGAGUUAUUAACCAGGAAAUGAGGCUUAUAUUGUUUUGUUUGUUUCUGACAUAAGUGCAGUAGGCUUGAAUGCAGUUGAGAAUUACCAGUCGUUUAUGGCCCCACACUUACAUAUGCAGAAAUGAAAGCUAAUGGUUAUAUUUAAUAUAGAAGGGAAAUAGGACUGCAGCACUCGGAAGGCUCGAGGUGACGGACUGGGGUGGGGAGAGCUGGCCUUUAUGACAGCACACCCACAUUCUAGGAAGUUUUCCUAGGGCUCAUAGAAGUGGAUCCGUGGAGAGCUGGCCUGUCCUCCUGAGAAAGAUGGGCCUACUCAGUAAGCUUUCCCCUUGUUGACAAAAUGAAACUAGCUUGAGACAUCAUGGAAUUACAUAGACUAUCUGGAAAUGAGCGGAAACAGGCCUCCUUACAUACAUAAUUAUAUGUACAAAUAUACGGGUGUCUCCCCACACUGAGGGUGGUUGAAUUUUUCCCUUGGAUGUUUUUGUUUACUUCAUAUCCAGCCUAAAGUAAUUAAUUUCAGUAAGUGUUUCUUGUGGGAAGUUCGGAAAAAGAUGGUAACCAUAACUUAAGGAAAGCCUGAAGACACUACAUGCUAACAGGUGCCUCUGCCUCUUCAACUCCUGCCUCUGGGUUGAGUUAUUUUCUAGCCAGCCUGCGGUUUGUUGAGCACCUGCUGUGUGUUGGGUGUUGUGCCGCCUGUGGGGUAAUGUGGAAGCCCAGCGUGGGCUCAGUGUGCAAGUGGUGCCAGCAGGCGCCAGAUUACAGUGCUCAAGGGGAGCAUGGACAGAGAAGGGUACUUAACACACAAGCCUCCUGGCUGGGGCCAAGGGCUUGUUAGAAGAUUCCUUCCCACUGAGCCCUGAGGAGCCAAGUUCAUUCCUUAAGUUCCUUUAGAAAAUGCUGUUUAAAUAUGACCCUGGGUGUGGUAUAGCCUUGUAGCUACUGCUUGAGCAGAGCUUCUAGGUCUUCCUGUGGCCUGUUUUCUAGUUCCUUCCCAGCCUUAUACAAAGAGCCCCACAAAGAAGAGGAGUGUCUUCCCUGAUGCUUUUUUUACUGAGUCAAGGCUGCUUCUGGAAGAGACCACAGUCCCCAGCAUGAGUCCACCAAGAUAGGUCACAUGGCACCUGUCAUUCAGAGGCUAGAACGGGCAGGGGUGGGAGGGCCUGAAAGACACCUUUGACAAGGAAUCAGACACCUGUGGACCUUGUGUAACAGGAUCUGUGGAGGUAAAUGAAUGUAAAGGUUGAAUCAGUGAGACAUUGAUAUCUUUAUUGUUAUGAUUAAUAAUCGGUGCAUAGUGGGCAUAAAACACCUAGAAUUCGCAAGGAUGUGAAACGAUACAGUGUUUAGAUGAUUUAAUGGAAAUUAUUGUGAUUUUUUUUUCGAAUAGAUUUGUAUUUGCAGAAUUGAAUUAGUGGAAUAAUCAGCCAGCGCUGGUUAUUAAUAAUUAAUAAAGGGGCAGCUUUAUGAAGGUAGAAAGGUAGGAGAAGAAAGCUUGUUUGCUACAGACGUUGGCACCCAGCUGAGCUGUGCCAGAUUUUUCUAGUUUCCUCUUUGCCUAGACUGGUAGUUCAACCUCCCUGAUGCUGUGACCCUUUAAGACAGUUCCUCAUGUUGUGGUGACCCCCAGCCAUAAAAUUAUUUUUGUUGCUACUUCAUAACUGUAAUUUUACUACUGUUAUGAAUCAAUCAUAGUGCAAAUAUAUGAGAUGCAGGAUCUCUGAUAUUCAGGAUGACCCCUGUGAAAGGGUCGUUUAUCCCUCAAGGGUUCUUGACCCACAGGUUGAGAACCUCUGGCCUAGACAAUGACUGACAUACUGACCCACUUUCCUUCCCUGAAUAUCUGUGUUAUUGUAAACAUACUUUACGUGCUGUGACUCCCUAGGUAGGUGAGUUCGCAUUGUCACUUUCUGGGUGAAAGAUAUAGAAGCUGUGCUGAAUCCGUCUUCCUUGUACUGUAUUCCCUUCAUUUAGUAUAAAUAACUUCUUAAAAAGUGUAGCUCAGGGGGGGCUGGAGAGAUGGCUCAACGGUUAAAAGCACUGACUGCUGUUCUAGAGGUCCUGAGUUCAAAUCCCAGCAACCACAUGAUGUCUUACAACCAUUUGUAAUGGGAUCUAAUGCCCUCUUCUGGUGUAUCUGAAGACAGCUACAGUGUACUUAUAUAUAAUAAAUAAAUAAAUCUUUGAAAAAAAGUAUAGCUCAGGGCUAGAGACUUGGCUCAGUGAUUAAGAGCAUUUGUCCUUGCAAAGGACUCGGGUUCGAUUUUCGAUACCCACACGGACGCGCACCACCUCCUCAGGCACCAGGCAUUCAUGUGGUGCACAGACGUACAUGCAAGCAAAAUGCACAUUAAAAAUAAUAAAUAAGCAAGAAAGAAAUUUUCUGUUUAAAUAAAAGUAUAGGUUUUAAAAAGCAGUUAAAAUGUGAUUAUUUGGGGGCUGGAGAGAUGGUUCCAUGGUUAAGAGUAUUGCUGCUCUUGUAGAAGACCAGAGGUCAUUUCCUGGCACCCACAUGAGGCCGUUCAGAACUGCCUGUAAUUCCAGCUCUAAGCAAUCAGACACUCUCUCCGAAACUCCUGCACUAAACGACCUUCCUGCAAUGUUUAUAAGGCAUGUGAAACAUAAGUGUUGUGUUUAGACUUCAGUCCAGUCUCUUAUCAUCUCAUUAUGUAUAUGAAAAUAUUCUAAAACUUUUGGAACACAAGUAAAUUGAUGUAAAGUUAUGUAAGCCAGAAUUCUGUUAUGCCUGGACAGUACAGUUUCCCCCUUAAAAAUGCUAGAGACUGCCGUGGGAUCAUCAGCUCUUUUAUUUUGCCAAGUAAGUACAUUUUAAAAUCCCACUAUCACCAGCUGAGAGAGAGACUGAGACAGAGACAGGAUGAUGAUGAAGAAGUAGGGACGAUCAGAUAGCAAAUUUAAAGCUCUUUGAAUUUCCCUCUGAGGACCUCAGACCUCUGCGGAAAUACUUAAAGCUUCCCAGCCGCACCUUUGAAAAGAAAGCGCCUCAGAAGACCUCGUCAGAGAAGCACCUCUGAGCUGAGAUCUGAGGCCUGGUCUCAGAAUACAGCUAAGUACUUAGAGAAGGGAUGCUAACUGGUGGGCCACAGUCCUUGUGUGACCUUCCUGGAUGUCCUCUAUAGUUCAUGCAGGGGGUGGGUGUGCCUCAGCUACUGGGGCUAGGCCACCCCUGCUGGAGUACUUGAACUGACAACUGAAUUGAGGGCCCAUAAAAUAAAACUGGUGAAUGACUAAGUCCCUGCAGGCAAACCACCCAUGCACUUAAAAUUAAAUGGAGAGGGAGAACUAGGGGGAAAGUCCCUAAUUCCCUUCUUAAACAUCGAAGAACAGGCCUCCCGAGUCACCCCAUUCCCUGCCAGAGUGAUGUGCCCUGACAACUCAGGGAGACUAGAGAGAAAGAGGAACUGAGGUUUGGGUCGCCCGGCACAGGGAGUAGUACAUACGCUGUGACUGAGUUUAUUUAAGGGGGUUAGUGUAAGCCCACAGGCUUGUACAAUGUCCGAGUUGUGACACCUGGUUAUCUUUCUAUCUACCUGAAAGCUAUCUUUCAGAGGAAGGCUGUAGAUUUUGGAGUCAGUUGUAUAGGG
rnacentral:lncRNA from 1 species